rnacentral:rRNA from 1 species
UACGAAGGGGGCUAGCGUUGUUCGGAUUUACUGGGCGUAAAGGGUGCGUAGGCGGAUUUUUAAGUCAGGGGUGAAAUCCCAAGGCUCAACCUUGGAACUGCCUUUGAUACUGGGGAUCUUGAGUCCGGGAGAGGUGAGUGGAACUGCGAGUGUAGAGGUGAAAUUCGUAGAUAUUCGGAAGAACACCAGUGGCGAAGGCGACUCACUGGCCCGUUACUGACGCUGAGGCGCGAAAGCGUGGGGAGCAAACAGG